rnacentral:tRNA from 1 species
GCCUUCGUGGUGUAAUGGUUAGCACAUUCGGCGCGUAUUCGAGAGGUCCAGGUUCGAAUCCAGGGGAGGGCA